rnacentral:tmRNA from 1 species
GGGGUUGACUGGAUUUGACGGCGGCUAAAAUGGUAUGUAAGCACGCGGAGCCUCGGUGGCUAUCUCCUAAAUCGGAGUCAUCAAACAAUUAAUUGGCGAAAACAAUUACGCUCUCGCUGCCUAAUCGAAGCAUAGUAGAUUACUGGCUUUAUCCCGUCACAAGGUGAUGGGACGAGACAUCGCUCAAGCGUUCGUUUUCCGAAACAGCUUGGCUUAGCGGUGCAGGAUUAUCGGAAAUAGCCUCCUGGUAGCCCCGGGCGGGGAGGCGAAACUUUACGGGGAUAAGGCGGCGGUUGGUGGUCCAGGUCUUGCCGACGCUCGAAAACCCAAGGCUGGAAUAAGCGUGUAGAAAGCAUAUGGUUUUACUGUGCGGACGAGGGUUCGAAUCCCUCCAGCUCCACC